AUUUAUUAAAGGACAUCUUAAUAGAGAGGAAGUAGAAGUUGGGGUAACUUCACAAAAAUAACAGAAAUCUUCUGUCAGUUCCUGCCAAGUUGAACUCUCAGCUUUAUUUCUGUAGUGAGCACCGCUAUUGGAGAAGCAGUUAACAACCGCAUUCGAGAAAGGAAAGCACAGCAAUGACCUCCUUCCCUUUAUGCCUGUUUGUCUGCCUGAUGAUGGUCCAGGUCAUUGUCGCUCCUGACCCAGAAGAACGCUAUGCAGUGUUUCUUAAACAGCAUGUUAUUCAAGACAUGAAUAAGGACGACUGCUUAAAAGUGAUAAAGAAAAGAAGAAUAACAGAUGGCAACGAACUUAAAGAAAAGAACUCAUUUAUCAUUGCCACAGAAGAUGAGGUCAAAGCCAUUUGUAAGGACAUUUCAGAAAAAACAAAUCCCAGACACGAAAAAACACGAAGUAAAAAAAAAUUCAAGGUUAUUGUGUGUACGCUAAAAGGCGAGGAGUAUGAGGGCAUCUUGCAUGAUUACCAAACACUUGAAGUAAAAUGUGAUAAAAAUUUACCUGUGCAUUUUUACACACAGUUUCAUUCCGGACAAUAAUUCCACUCCUCAAAUAUCUGAGAAAGCAGAUAUUAUUCUAUAAUUUAUGCCACAAUACAUCAUAUCCCUGUGGGCAUUGUUAUGAUCCUUAAGCUUGAUUAGUUUUCCUGACUUGGUACGCUUAUCUGUUUCAUUGCUUUUAAAUCCCAAAA